AGAUAGACCAAAAAUACUGACUGAUAAAAGCUACCCAAGGAAGCAGUUUGUACAAGUUUUACCAAAUUGUUAACAAUAGACAUUUUGGUGUUUCAUCAUCCCUCCUCUCCCAUCUGAUAAAGGGUAAGAUCUGUGAUGUAGCGAUGUACUUUGUUUUUUCCAGCACUCUAUCAUGAGUGUGAAGGGGCAUCCAGCAAAUAACAGACACCUGAUGUUUGUUAAUUGGAAAACAUGAUAAUAAGUGCUUGCUGGGAUUUUUUUUUUUUGGAGGGCCUUGAAUGCUAAGUUGUACUUGAUUCUCGAGGGCAUGGAAAACAAGUGAAUAUGAGACCUGAGGAAUGGACAGAGUAAAACCUACUGUUUAGCAACGUGAAUCCAAAUGAGAAGGGUCACGGAUACAAGUAUAGAAUCAUACAUGAUGCCUACCAUUGGCUGAACAGAUUUUUAAAAUGUGAUAAAUAUACAUGAUGGAAUAUUAUUCAGCUCUUAAAAAUUAAACCCUGUAAAAAUAUCCAAUUCACUGUUUCAAGAUGUGCUGUAACUUAAGUGUCUCCUGCAUAUGAGGAGCAGGACACAGGCCAUCAGCCCUCCUCUGCUUUUGGAGAAAAAAUAGAACACUGGCACUUCAGGGCCACCAAGAAGAUGGGACCUUCUCUAGGAAAAAUGGCCUGAAGCAAAGAAGAAGAAGAGCUCGGACAUGACAAAUUCCUGCAUUAGCUAAGUGAUCUUUCAUUUUGUUCCUCAUGAAUGUAUUUCUUAUUCUAUACCAUCCAGAUAGUAACACGAAAGAUCCAUAACCAUGUUAUGACAUCGAUGCAUGGAUACUAUUAAGGUUGUUCGUGAGCGCAAGAAAUGUCACUAGCAUCCUUCACCAUGAAAAAUUGUAGUUCCCUUCGCAAAAGUGCUGUACAUUGCAGAGGAUGUGUGAGAUACAUUUUUGAAUGAAUUGAGUGUCAGACUGAGUUCCGCAGGUAGAAUCCUUGUGCCCAUUCUGAAUUCCAUGGACUGCACGAAGACAUAACAGAUCUCCUUUUCAUACUUGCUCUGAAGUUCACUGACAUUUUAGAUAAUAGAAGGCACCAUUUAGAACAGGAGGGAUCUUUAGCUACUCCAGAGAAGUUGUCUGAAUAUUAACAUGAGGCUUUUGAGAAAAAAAAAAAUAACCUUGACCUUCUAAAUUGUACCUGUUCAGGAAGGCUAAGGAUCAUGAACUGCUAAGCUAUUCAUAUUAAUAAAGUGUGUGCAGGAAAAAUCAUAUUCAUUUGCAUAAGCUUCUUCUCUCUGUAGCCCAUGAAAUUAACAUUGUUUAAUGGCUGGAAAUACGAUCACCUUUCGCUGUAUCAGUCACACUCUCUUCUCCAAAGGAAAAGAUAGAGGGUCUUGGCUCAGUAAACUGGAAACUGUUUUAAAUUACAAGUGCUUUCGGGAGACAAUCAGUGCGAGCCCAGGUGCCAGGAAGUGUCAGAUCCAGAUGAAUAUAGGUUUCCAUGAAAGCCCAUUCCAACACAGCCUUCCUGUCCACCAUCUCAUUCAAUCAUUUUAUUCUUUCUAUUGACAUACAUAUGUGGGAGGUGUUUGAAUAGCUCUUGGCCCUACCUUCAAAGGCCUCACUGUGUCCAGUGAGAAGACAGUAACCAAUUUUAUCCUUGGGGCUGUGGGACAACUGCCAUAGUGCAUGUGACGUUUGCACUGGGCUCUGAAGACCAUGCAGGAGUUCUCAGGUUAGGAAGGAGAAAAACGAUCUGGCUAAACUAUUACAGUGCUAUGAAAGGAGUUUUGGUUUUGAAGAAAAAGCAAGUAGUUCAGUGUGAUGGAGGGUUAUCUACAUAAUUUGUAGGACUUAGUGAAAAACUAAAAAUACUGGGCUCUUUGUUUAAAAAAAAACAGGAAAAAUGCUAUCCUUUUUAAUCUUUUUAAUCUCUUUCUGGUCUCUUCUCUCCUGUCAUUUAUUUGCUAUUUAAUGUAUUACCACAGAGUGGAAUAAAGCCAGUGCCAGCUA